rnacentral:rRNA from 1 species
AUUGAACGCUGGCGGCAGGCCUAACACAUGCAAGUCGAGCGGAGCGGCGGACGGGUGAGUAAUUCCUAGGUAUCUGCCUGGUAGUGGGGGAUAACGUCCGGAAACGGGCGCUAAUACCGCAUACUAUCAUAUGAGCCUAGGUCGGUUUAGGUAGUUGGUGGGGUAAAGGCCUACCAAGGCGACGUUCCGUAACUGGUCUGGGAGGAUGAUCAGUCAGACUGGAACUGAGACCGGGUCCAGACGCCUAGGGGAGCGAGCAGGGGGGAAUCUUGGACAAUGGGCGAAGGCCGAUCCAGCCAGGCCGCGUGUGUGAAGAAGGUCUUCGGAUUGUAAAGCACUUUACGUUGGGAGGCGUUACCAACAGAAUAAGCACCGGCUAACUCCGUGCCAGCAGCCGCGGUAAUAC